ensembl:lncRNA
UGUAUGGUUGCCCUCCUAACUCUCCCUCUGUAAUGUUACAGGACAGAAGACUGUAUGGUUGCCCUCCUAGCUCUCCCUCUGUAAUGUUACAGGACAUAAGACUCUGUAUGGUUGCCCUCCUAGCUCUCCCUCUAAUGUUACAGGACAGAAACAUGCUGCUGGCUUUAUCUCCUUUGUUUUGACUUUUUAUUGAAGCUUUUAUUUAUUUAAGCAGGGAGUCGUGCUGAGACCACUGCCUCUUUCACAGAUGAGCCCUGCAUGAACACAUCAAUACACAAAACGUUGUUAGCGUUGAAAAUAGAUUGACAGCUUCGAGGACAUGUAACAUGUCUGUCCUGUGUGCAGGAAUCACCAGCUAGCUGGGCAGCAGACAGUUGAUAUUGGACAAUGUACAGUAAGAGGAGCAUGGAUAUGCCUGGCUAUUCUCCUCUCAGCCAGCUGGCAUCCUAGUUAUUCACCCUUGGUGGGUUUCAUUGAAAUAGUCUGUGUAUUCUCUCUCUCAAUUCAAUUUGCUUUAUUGGGAUGAUGUAACGUUUUGCCCAAGUGUACUUUGGAGAUGAAGUGAUACAUUUACGAUAUUAACAGAAUUUAAAUAAUCAUUAUUGUCAACGGGAUAAAGGGUAGCAACAAUAAUUUAAGGGUAAAAAUAAUCCUACAAUGGCAAAGAGGACAUGUGCAGGUUUGUUGACACUGUCCCUCAUCUUCUGGCAGGCAGCAAUGUAGUGCUCUGCCAACCCACAGCUCUCUGUGUCCUCCCCCAACAGGACAGGUAGCCUAUCCUCAUCAGAGAGGUCUUCAAUGUAGUGCACUGCCAACCCACAGCUCUCUGUGUCCUCCCCCAACAGGACAGGUAGCCUAUCCUCAUCAGAGAGGUCUUCAAUGUAGUGCACUGCCAACCCACAGCUCUCUGUGUCCUCCCCCAACAGGACGGGUAGCCUAUCCUCAUCAGAGAGGUCUUCAAUGUAGUGCUCUGCCAACCCACAGCUCUCUGUGUCCUCCCCCAACAGGACAGGUAGCCUAUCCUCAUCAGAGAGGUCUUCAAUGUAGUGCUCUGCCAACCCACAGCUCUCUGUGUCCUCCCCCAACAGGACAGGUAGCCUAUCCUCAUCAGAGAGGUCUUUGAAACCUUCAAUAAGUGUUUCAAAUUUGGGGAAAUGACACUCUCUAAUUAUUUUAUAUUGUUAACAUUUUGUCAGGAAAUGCAGCUCUGUCUCAGGUUCUGCUGUGGUGCAGUGGUUGCACAGCCUUUCCUCUACAGGGAGCCAGGUUUUCCUGUGUCGACCCUUCUCAAUGGCAAGGCUGUGCUCACUGAGCCUGUGUUUUGUCAAGGGUUUUCUGAUCAGUAACCAUGGUCCAAUAGUUAGCCACGGUGUACUGUUGAUUUAGGGCCAGAUAGCACUACAUUUAGCUUUGUGCUUGUGUUUCCCAGUAGGUAAUGGAGUUCUGUUUUCACUGUGUUGUAAUUUGGUUUAUUAUGAUCGAUUUUGGAUGUUCUGGUCCUGAGGUUGGUCCUGAGUUUGUGAACUCUGCCCCAGGACCAGCUGGAUGAGGGGACUAUUUUCUUUGCUCAGCUCUUGGCAUUUCAGUGCUUGGUAAUGAUAUGAGAGGGGGUCACUGUAUUUUAGAUGUUUCCAAAACUUAAUUGCAAUUUUUUAUUUUUAAAAUUAUUAGUGGAUAUUGGCCUAAAUCUGCCCUGCAUGCAUUGUUUGUAGUUUUCCUCUGGUCAUGUAGGAGAAUCUUACAGAAUUCUGCAUGCAGGGUUUCAAUGGGAUGUUUGUUCCAUUGGUUGAAAUCUUGUUUUGCAAGUGGACUCCACACCUCACUGUCAUUAAGUGCAAUUAGUUCAAUGACACAUUCAAUUAGUUUUAGCCACAUGUUUAUAGGCAUUUCAAGUUGAAUGAGUUGUUUAAGGGCGUAGAAUGUCCUGAGUGCUUUCUCACUGUUCAUUCACUGCUUCAUUUAGGUGUCCAGUUGAGCUUGUUUUUACACAUAAGUAAUUGUAGUGUGUGCAGUACUCUAUAUAUUUUUUGUACCAAUUGAGAACUUUGGUCUAAUUCCCCCUAAGAUCUGGAUCCUCUCUGGAAAAUAACCUUUUUUUUUAUACUAUUCUUUCUUUGUCUCAAUUAAAUGUCAAUUUAAGGGGCUUGAUUGGCAUGGGAAAACAUUACACUCACAAAAGUUCCAAAAGAAUAGAAACAUUUCAAAUGUCAUUUGUCUGUAUACAGUGUUGUAACGAUGUGCAAAUAGUUAAAGUACAAAAGGGAAAAUAAAUAAACAUAAAUAUGGGUUGUAUUUACAAUGGUGUUUGUUCUUCACUGGUUGACCUUUUCUUGUGGCAACAGGUCACAUCUUGCUGCUGUGAUGCACACUGG